rnacentral:rRNA from 1 species
AUUGAACGCUAGCGGCAUGCCUUACACAUGCAAGUCGAACGGCAGCACGGGUGCUUGCACCUGGUGGCGAGUGGCGAACGGGUGAGUAAUAUAUCGGAACGUACCUUAUUGUGGGGGGUAACGCAGCGAAAGCUGUGCUAAUACCGCAUAAUCCCUAAGGGGGAAAGCGGGGGACCGUAAGGCCUCGCGCAAUUAGAGCGGCCGAUACCUGAUUAGCUAGUUGGUGAGGUAAAGGCUCACCAAGGCAACGAUCAGUAGCUGGUCUGAGAGGACGAGCAACCACACUGGGAAGGGGACACGGCCCAGACUCCUACGGGAGGCAGCAGUGGGGAAUUUUGGACAAUGGGGGCAACCCUGAUCCAGCAAUGCCGCGUGAGUGAAGAGGGCCUUCGGGUUGUAAAGCUCUUUUGUCAGGGAAGAAACAGCAGCUCUAACACAGUUUGCGAAUGACGGUACCUGAAGAAUAAGCACCGGCUAACUACGUGCCAGCCGCCGCCGUAACAC